UAGAUAAUCCAUUCCUCUCCCGUCUUAUAUAUUUGUUUCCUAAAAUGUGUGGUUGAAGAUGUGCUAGUAAAGGUGGACAAGUUUAUUUUUCCGAUAGAUUUCAUUAUCUUAGAUAUGGAGGAAGAUAGAGAGGUCGUAUUUAUCCUUGGCGGACCAUUCCUUACAAUUGAAAGACCACUUAUUGAUGUUCAAGAAGAUAAACUUACCGGUUACCAUGAGGGUCAAUGAUGAGCAGGGAAUUUCUUGAGAUGUGAUCAAGCAGGUUAGCACGUUUUCAUUUCUUGUGUAAAAAGGGCCACAUUCACACCAUUACGACAUCGGACAAACAAAAGGCUUACGUUCAUCCAUAAACCAUCUUAUGUAAUCAUGAGAUGGUUUGAAAUUAUCACCAAGAAUCCAUUCUUUAUGCCUAGUAGGCCAAACUUCAUCAUGGUGCCCGCCCAUAUCAAUCUUGUGAAGCUUAUCAACGUUGAUUGGCAUUUUGGGAAUUGAUUGUUGCAUCCCAAAUUGUCACAUUACUCCAUCAGUUUGUUGCCACUCCACAACUGCAAAGCAUAUCAAUGUUGUAUUUGCAUUCCAUAAGUGACAAUGGUCAUAAACUUCUAAAGGUAGGCAUACUACAAUUUCAUUUGAAGAAUAUGGCAUCCAAAUAAACUGCAAAUGAUUUAUUAAAAAAAGUUUAAAGUAUUAGAAGAGUGCAUAUGCAUCAAAUGCAUGAAUACUUGAAUCAAAUUAUAAAA